rnacentral:rRNA from 1 species
GACGAACGCUGGCGGCGUGCCUAAUACAUGCAAGUCGAACGCAGUGGGGACGGGUGAGUAACACGUGGGUAACCUCCCCUCAGAGGGGAUAACACUUGGAAACAGGUGCUAAACCGAUACUGAUGGAUGGACCCGCGGUGCAUUAGCUAGUUGGUGAGGUAACGGCUCACCAAGGCCACGAUGCAUAGCCGCACUGAGAGGGUGAUCGGCCACACUGGGACGGAGACACGGCCCAGACUCCUACGGGAGGCAGCAGUAGGGAAUCUUCGGCAAUGGAGGAAAGUCUGACCAAGCAACGCCGCGUGAGUGAAGAAGGUUUUCGGAGCGUAAAACUCUGUUGUUAGAGAAGCGGUAUCUAACCAGAAAGCAACGGCUAACUACGUGCCAGCAGCCGCGGUAAUAC